ACCCAUCCAAGCAGAUACUUCUUAUCAUCCUCGAGGCUCUCAUCAAAGUUUGGCCUUCCUGCAAUAAUCUCCAUUGCCACAACACCAUAAGCGAAGACAUCAGCCUUCUCUGUCAAGUGGCCCAUCAUGGCAUACUCGGGUGCUAGAUAACCACUAAAGGUAAGAAACCAAAUAUAUGAUCAAUGAUCAUUUUUUUUGUUAUAGGUCAAUUAAAAUAAUAUCAUCAGGAGAGUUUCUUACAGCGUGCCAGCUACUCCUGUGCUAAGGUGAGUCAUGUUGUCCUCAUAAUGCCUAGCUAGCCCAAAGUCAGAGAUUUUUGGAUUGAGAUCACCAUCAAGCAAGACAUUGCUGGUUUUGAUGUCCCUGUGAACUAUCCUUGUGCUGGACUCCUCAUGGAGAUAUGCUAGGCCUCUUGCGAUGCCUACGCAUAUGUCGAAGCGGGUUCUCCAAUCUAGGUUCAUA
rnacentral:sRNA from 1 species